rnacentral:ncRNA from 12 species
AGCAUACGAGGUCAGAAAUGGUUCCUGACGCACUCUCCGGAGUACCUGAGAUGCCGGAUACACCGCCCGGCCGUAUGCC